ACAUUAUUGUCAUUUUGGUUUACGUGAAGGGCUUCAAUCUGCUCUCAGACAUGUUUACCAUGUGCCCAAUGCCUGUGGUCUGUUUUAUGUUCAGGCUCAUCGCACGUACCAGUAUCCUCAACUCUUGCUGCGGCUUCAAGGCCAUACACGGAACCACGCAUGCUUGGUGCUUUGCACAUGUUGGAAGCUGUCAACUCUUUUACGGAACUGCAAUCCCAUGGUAUGUCAUUUAUGCGGUAUACAUCAUUAUGUUGCUGUUAUGCAAUGUUUCCAGUUUUUACCUUGUUUUGUUGUGCAAUCAUUGUGCUAUGGCCAAAUGCCUGUAGUCUGUUUUAUGUUCAGGCUCAUCGCACAUACCAGUAUCUUCAACUUUUGCUGCGGCUGCAUGGCCACACAUGGAACCGAGCAUGCUUGAUUCACCGUGCAGUCCAGGACCCGCAUAUCUGACCGGGGCUACAAGGUCACAAACAGACCCACAAGUGCUCGCCUUCAUGGAAAGAAUACUACAAGUGUUAAAUAGCAUGAAGCACGCCCAGCAAGCCCAUUCGCAAUAUUUCAACGAGCUGCUAAGUAAUGUUGACAGUGCAGCUCCGCACCCUCAUGGCCUCCCACACCUGCCUUUCUCGAAUGUGGCGGAUGUUCUUGCAUAUGAGGAGAAGUUCGAGACAGACAGCCAAGCUCAUGAUCAAAUGGUAAUUUCUCUGCUUCAUGGCCUAAGCUCAGUAUAAUGUUGCCUGUCUUGUAACUACAGCAUGCUGGAGUGACAAGGCAUUUAUAAAUUCACGUGAAUAUUACUUAUGACAGUCUGAUGAAUGACGUACUGUUGAAUUUUUACAUAGCUAGCU